GUAAACUACCCAGUUAUUGGCCAACGUCAGUUAUUGGCCAUACUGCACUUUGUCGGCACAAAAUAAGAAACGGGGCAGGUCGGGCCAUCUGUAUUUUUUAUAAAGAACUGCUUUAUUAAUCAGGUUUCAUUUUAGUUCAUUUUUUUCCCGUUAUUGACCGUAUUGCCAAUUCUAACGGCAUUUUUUUGACAGUUGGUACCCGGACGCCCUCGGAGAAGUAUUUAUGUAGUGUAUUUGUUAACGGACGGAUUUAUUUCAAAAAUAGUAAUAUGGAGUAGUUUUCAGUGUUUUGCAGUGGUUUGCAGUGCUAUUGUGUUUUUUAAACGACAUCCAUUAAAUAAACAAGAUUGCAUCAAAGCGACAAAAGUAUUCUCACGAAGAUCUUAACAAGGCCUUGAAGUUUAUAGAAAACAAGGAAGGAUCCAUUCGACAAGCAGCAAAUAUUUUCAAUGUGCCAAGAAAUACCAAAAAACACUGAAUUCGCCCAAAAGGCAGGACAAACGCCAAAUAGAAAGACUACCGUUUGCGCUUACUUCCGUAUCAUCAUUUCAGCCAUAGGACGUCCACUGCUGAACAUAGGCCUCUCCCAAUAAUUUCCACAAUGGCCGGUUAGUGGCGGCCUGCAUCCAGCGCCUUCCCACUACCUUCAUGAGGUCAUCGGUCCACCUUUUGGGUGGACGUCUUACACUGCGCUUUCCGGUACGUGGCUUCCACUCCAGAACCUUGCUGCCCCAUCGGCCGUCAGUUCUGCGUACUAUAUGCCCUGCCCAUUGUCUGCUAUGUCAGCGACUUUAGUUCGUUUAAGGAUCUCCUCAUUUCUGAUUCGAUCUCGUAGAUAUUUUUGCUUGUGCCCUAUCAAAAAGAGAAUUAUAGAAUGUAAUCAAUGUCAAGAAAAGUAUAAUUUGAAUUGUAUUCCAAUUGCUCAUAGAGUGUAUGUACCAGAACAGGAUGACGAUUCCUUUUUGUGUCAUUUAUGAUGAUAAAGAGAGAGUAACACUGAUUCAUCUGAUGAUAAAGUGGAUUAUUUAUUUGCUGCUGUCUAUAAAGAAUCCAAAAAACAAGGGUUUAAUUAGAUAGUUUUGUUUUUAUUUGUUUAUUUGAGACUUAUAUUGAAACUAUAGCUCCUAGGUUUGAAAUAUUCACUUUGUCUAUGAGUAAAUUAUAUUGUUUCACGACUGAUCUCAUAUAGUUUUAGAUGACGUUCUGUUUUUCAUGUUAUAUUGAUUUCUUUAGCUGUAAUAUAUUAUUUUUUUCUGUGGCCAGUAACUAGCAUGCAUAUGGCCAGUUACAGAAUUUCAUGGCCAAUAACUAGCAAUAUUCGUAUGU